rnacentral:tRNA from 1 species
GCCCAAGUGGCGGAAUUGGUAGACGCGCUACAUUCAGGGUGUAGUAACCUUAUGGUUGUGUAAGUUCGAGUCUUAUCUUGGGUA